GCCAGCGGCGGCAGCGGCUGCGGCAAUGUCCGCAGUUAAUGCGCCCACCCUGAUAAAGAAGAAUAUUGCGCUGAAAUAGAUCAGUGCAGUGUUUUAACUACACGUCUCAGUAUCCCAGGGAGGCUGCUCCCCGCCUUGAUGGACUUUGGCUUGCUGCGUAAUUCCAUUAAACCACUUGCCAGCACUGCUCGCUGUCACUUUUCGCAGCAUUAGUUUCAGAUGCAUAAUGCAAACCAAUUGCCAUGUGGAACAACAGCUUACGGUGCAGAAACUGAGGCUGUCUAACACAAUUCUGGAAGUUCCAUCUAGUUUUCACAUCUAUUUUUUGAAAGAAAAAUCCCACUUCCAUGGAAACCUCUCCCAGGUCCUAUGAAAAACAUGUUUCGGAAACUAAAGAACGUUUUAACCCACUUCUUUCAGGGGUGGUGCAGUCCCCCUCCUGGAAGGAUUAGGGGCCCUCUGCCAGCCUGGCACACGAGCUGAGGAAACAGCAGCAGAGCCGGGAGUGUGAACUGAAACUUCGGCAAGAGAUGGAUGGAUUAAACAGCGCCUCCAAGAGUGCCAGUACCCCAGGAAGGCAGUCCUGCGACUGUGGGAACACCUCCGGAAAAUCUCUUGCUUUCCCAAUAGUUUUUGUUUGCUCAGCAGGCAAACCCAGGAAACUUUUCGAGACAUUUGAACUGUACUAAACUAUGUACAAAACUGAAACAGAAGAGCACGGCAAAUUAAAACAGAUAUGAUUUAUAAGAGAGCUUUCUAAUUCUCCAUCCUCCAAAUGAUGGAGGCAAGCCAACCCUACAACUCUUAGAGCUGCCUAGCUCUGUGAAGGUCAUGAUUUGAUCCUCAGACAAAACACUCAGAACUCCCAUCUCAAGAGAUCUGGAACUGGCCUCCUGAGAAAGCACUGAGUACCUGCUGAGGGCAGGGCAAGGCAGCACUGUAUGGCAGGGGAAUUUAGCCCAGAGCCCGUGGGCAUUACUGAACAUGCAGCAAAAGAGACCCGAGUGACAGCCGUGCAGGAUUCAUACUGCUGGUGCUCAAAACCACACAUGUGGAACUACACACUUGUGGCAAAGGCCCAAGCCAAGCCAACACUCACACUGCCCAACAACUGCAAAGGAAGCAUAACUUUGUAACAUCUGGACAGAGAGCAUUUGUCCUGAAAAGUCAGUACAAACAGCACCACUGUCUCCGGGCUGUUCCUGAUGGGCACCACGACCAACACUACCAGAGCGUGGGCUGCUGGCAGGACAGCAAAUACAUCAUUGAUUGGUCCUGGGUUGCACAAGAAUGCAUAAACCAGAGAGAGUCAUACUGGCAUCAAACACAGACGAGUGGUGAGAGGCAAGAGGUGAGUGGCCCAGUGUCCUGUCCCUGGUGAGACCUGCUGAUGUAGCAAACGGCCAGCCCGGGCAGACAAAUAUGGAUAAACCAACAUCUCCUCCAAUCCCAAAGGGACAACAAUGAAAGAUACCAGAUCAGCCUUUGCUUACAGAAGGUAAGCAAAGUCCCCAGUACAACCAGUGGAGCCCUGGCCAGCACACAGCCCACACAGAUGAGCCUGGCAUCCAGAGGGAUGUUACACCCCUGAGGUUACAGGAGGUCUUAGAAAUGAGUAAUACACUUUCCAGAAAUGUGAGCUGACAUUCGUCCCUCAUGCUGGUCACUCGCAGAGGAAUACUGCAAUUAAUGGCAGCUACAGUACGAGAAGAAUGGUACUGUUAGUGUCUCAGCAGGAAUGAGCAUGAUGGUGACUCAGAAAUACUGUGUGACUCAGAAAUACAAUACAGCACUACCAUGCAACUCAUCUCUGGGUGUGGUUUGUUUGGGUAAGAGGAGAGAGACCCGUCUGGGGGAUGAGAGGUCAUCGCUGCUGUAAUGGCACCAAAAAACUGCUUGGACACUGCAGUCUAUCUGUUGGAGGGGACUCAAUUUGUCGUAAUAAGGAUGUGAAAACAAAGGCACUGCAGGGAAUGAUACCAUCUACAAUGAGAUGAUACUUGCUGCAAAAUGAUUUCCUGUGUUUGGUGGGAUAUUCCAUAAUAUUUGAAGCACCCAACACCCCACCCCUCACUAUUCUGCAUUGCUAAGAAUUUCCUCUGCUAUUGUCUGUCUCACUUGGAAUUGCUUGGACUGCUCUGGAACCCUGUGCAUCUCCAGUCCCCUCGGGGGUGCCUGAAGAGGCAGAUCACUGCCUUGGAUCCGUUCACCCGGUGCCAAUAGAACCUACUGCACUACUCUGACAUUUUUAUCCAGUCUAGGUAUGUGCUGCUGGUUUCAGCAAACUUCUGCAGGAAGGUGUAAUCCUUCACACUUGUGUGCAGAUGCUGGGUGCUCUCAUCGGUCUUAACACUGGGGGUGUCUGUUAGCAAGUGCUGCUUUCUGUGGGGGCUUUGACCUUAAAUUCUUUGUGACUUUCUGAUGCUUGUAGUUUUUUUGGGAUAUCCAGACUUUGUAAACUGGUCUUGGCAUGAAAGUAGUACCUAACUUCCAUAAAUUGAAUUCUGGACUAGGUGACUCUUUGGUUGCUGUAUCAGAAUUGCUUUGCUGGUGGGCUAACGGUACGUGUUCAACCCUGCCUGUCUCUACUGAAAUUUUACUUUUCAGCAUAGGCAGUUUACAGGAUUUAACAGCUGCUCUCUUUCUACAAACUCAGCUUUCUAAAAUUAUAAGGUUGGAUGCUAAACUUUAGACAAAACUAUUUCACUUGCUUUUCCUACUAUCAGUCUAAGAAGGUAUCUAGUCACAAAAAAAAUAUUACAAAUAUUGAUCGUACAACAGUAAGACUUAAAUUUCUUUUGAGAGACAAAAACAUAAUCAAAUAAAGACAAUUCUGUAGCACCAUAUAUUGAUGGAAUGUGGCUUACAAAUAUCCUUAAACUUCUGUAAACAGUUUACUGAGAAACUGAAGGCAGUCAAUCCAAUGAAAAUAAGUAAUGCAUACAAUAAGCUAUUCACAGCUCUGUAUUGCUUUGCCCUUCAGAGUCUUGCAUUUGGGCAUAGGGACAACGCUUGUUGUGGAAUCUGUGUUACUUGGUGUUUCUUAAUGACUAUAUAAAGCUAUUCUAAACUGGA